rnacentral:rRNA from 1 species
UACGGAGGGGGCUAGCGUUGUUCGGAAUCACUGGGCGUAAAGCGCACGUAGGCGGCUUUGCAAGUCAGAGGUGAAAGCCUGGAGCUCAACUCCAGAAUUGCCUUUGAGACUGCAUCACUUGAAUCGCGGAGAGGUGAGUGGAAUUCCGAGUGUAGAGGUGAAAUUCGUAGAUAUUCGGAAGAACACCAGUGGCGAAGGCGGCUCACUGGACGCGUAUUGACGCUGAGGUGCGAAAGCGUGGGGAGCAAACAGG